CAAGCGUUGUCCGGAAUCAUUGGGCGUAAAGAGCGUGUAGGCGGCCAGAUAAGUCCGCUGUGAAAUCUCGAGGCUCAACUUCGAGCUGUCGGUGGAAACUGUCUGGCUAGAGUCCGGAAGAGGAGAAUGGAAUUCCUGGUGUAGCGGUGAAAUGCGCAGAUAUCAGGAAGAACACCCGUGGCGAAGGCGGUUCUCUGGGACGGUACUGACGCUGAGACGCGAAAGCGUGGGGAGCGAACAGG
rnacentral:rRNA from 1 species